GUUUAGCGAAGCGUACUGGGGCCGGUUGCACCAACUGGGCGUAACUAAGCCUGGUCGUAACUGCUAAGUAGGUCUUAGUUACGACAAAAAAAUAAAAUCAAAAGGUGGGCUUUUGGAAAAAAUAAGCUUUGUGUUAUGUGUGGGGCAGUUAGCUGAGUUCACCAGAUGUGUUUUGAUAUGGGUAGGUCAAAAGGUCAAGCCGCAUAAUAGAUUUAUAGCCUUUUUUAACAUUAAAAAAAUUGUAUAAAAUCAAAAGGUGGGUUUUUGGAAAAAAUAAGCUUUGUGUUAUGUGUGGGGCAGUUAGAUGGGUUCAUCACACGUGUUUUGAUAUGGGAAGGUCAAAAGGUCAAGCCGCAUAAUAGAUU
ensembl:lncRNA